UGGGGAAUAUUGGACAAUGGGCGCAAGCCUGAUCCAGCCGUGCCGCGUGAGUGAUGAAGGCCUUAGGGUUGUAAAGCUCUUUCGCCGGUGAAGAUAAUGACGGUAACCGGAGAAGAAGCCCCGGCUAACUUCGUGCCAGCAGCCGCGGUAAUACGAAGGGGGCUAGCGUUGCUCGGAAUCACUGGGCGUAAAGCGCACGUAGGCGGAUCGUUAAGUCAGGGGUGAAAUCCUGGAGCUCAACUCCAGAACUGCCCUUGAUACUGGCGAUCUCGAGUUCGAGAGAGGUUGGUGGAACUCCGAGUGUAGAGGUGAAAUUCGUAGAUAUUCGGAAGAACACCAGUGGCGAAGGCGGCCAACUGGCUCGAUACUGACGCUGAGGUGCGAAAGCGUGGGGAGCAAAGCAGGAUUAGAUACCCUGGUAGUCCACGCCGUAAACGAUGGAUGCUAGCCGUUGGGGGGUUUGACCUCUCAGUGGCGCAGCUAACGCCUUAAGCAUCCCGCCUGGGGAGUACGGUCGCAAG
rnacentral:rRNA from 1 species